UCGGCAAUGGGCGAAAGCCUGACCGAGCGACGCCGCGUGUGGGAUGAAGGCCUUCGGGUUGUAAACCACUGUCAACGGGGAGGAAAUGUAGGGGGGUACUCCCCUCUACUUGACCUAUCUGUGGAGGAAGUACGGGCUAAGUUCGUGCCAGCAGCCGCGGUAAGACGAACCGUACGAACGUUAUUCGGAAUUACUGGGCUUAAAGGGUGCGUAGGCGGUGCGGUAAGUUGGGUGUGAAAGCCCUCAGCUCAACUGAGGAAUUGCACUCAAAACUACCGUGCUAGAGGGAGACAGAGGUAAGCGGAACUCAAGGUGGAGCGGUGAAAUGCGUUGAUAUCUUGAGGAACACCGGUGGCGAAGGCGGCUUACUGGGUCUUUUCUGACGCUGAGGCGCGAAAGCUAGGGGAGCAAACGGGAUUAGAUACCCUGGUAGUCCUAGCCCUAAACGAUGGGUACUGGGUUGCGGGUCAGACAUAGACUCGCAGCCGAAGCAAAAGUGUUAAGUACCCCGCCUGGGGAGUAUGGUCGCAAGGCUGAAACUCAAAGGA
rnacentral:rRNA from 1 species